UGAAUAUAUUUAUACGCAGUUUAAUAUUUUUUUCGCGGGAACUUUUUUUAGCAGUACAGUGUAAGCGGCCAACAAAUUCGUUGAGAAGAUCGGUCGUCCAGCGAUCGAUCUUGCCAUGAAUUUUACCCCUCCUUGAGGAAGGUUUUAAUACAACACUGAAAGCAAUUAUCGGCGCGAGUGACCUUAACUCUGGCCGUUUUUCUUUGUCGAGCAAGUUACAUUCGAGGUUGAAAUUUCAAGCAACAAGUUGUUGGCUCGCGGAGCGAGCAUUCAAGAAUCAUUGUCAAUCGAUUUGAUCAUUCUGGGGGACUCCAGAAGCGCUGACCAUGGAUCGAAGCAAGCAUGGGUCUGUACACACAAAGUCUCAAGAAAACGAAGUUUGUGAUUCAUGUGAAUUGAGUUCAGCAGAUAAGGAGAUGUGCAAAGCGAUCGGAAGGAUUUUGGCAAGAAUUGGAGACAGAGUGAACUCUUCACAGAUGCUAUCGAACGGACGUGGCCUUUACGUGAACUGUCGCAAUGGUCAUCGUUUAGAUGAUGAUACGAGACCCUGGCCUGGAGUAAAUAAACUUCCGUAAACAGCGGAAAAAUUUUAUCGAUCAAUUACUUUUGAAAGGUCUAUUUCCACGCUAAAAUAAUUGUACAUAUUGUAUGCAGAUUCGUUAUGUUAUAGAUGUCCUGCAUAUACGUACUUGAGAGAAUCAUCUAGAACUGCUCGCUUUGUAAUUUGCGGCACCAAUUUUUAUCGUUAGAGCAACUGUUUGAAAGGAAAACCCAGUCUUCGAGAAGCAUGUAAAUAGUUUUUGAUAAAAGCAGAACGAGAUAAAUAAAAUCAGCUGAUGAAUAGCAA